CCUCAACAUCUCUUUGAGAAAUCAAAUCACAGAGACUCUUCAGUCUUCUUCACAAAAUAGAAAAAAAAAAAGACAAUGAGAAAAGAGAGAGAGCGUACGUUCUCUAUUGGCGUAAGAUCUAUCGAGUUGAUGAAUUCUGAAUAAUGACGAAGAUUGAGAACUGAAUUAGGGUUGAUGAUGACCCAAACAUGCAACAACGACAUCAAUGGUUAUGGUGCGAGCGAGGCUCAUCGGAGGAGGACGCUGUUUGUUUCUUCUUCAAGUCUCAUCUGUUUUAACGACCAAGUUGAGAUCGGAGAGAUGUUUGGAAGAAUGAAUGAAGUUUCAUAGCGUAAACUUGGCCGACAGUGGACCAGUGGCGGAGGUAGAGUAAUAUUAGGGGUGUCAUAUGACACCCAUGAAACAAAAAAAAUACAGGGACUGAGUCCUGUUGCUGCUUGCUUCUCUAGAUGGGGAGAUACAUGUGUUCCCCUUCAUCUGCGUUUAUACUACCAUGUACGCAAAACAUACUCUUCUUGUUUUCCAGGAUUGUGGACACCACUCUAUCAUCAUUCAUCAACACACUUAAGGGAUUUAGG